GAUGAACGCUGGCGGCGUACCUAAUACAUGCAAGUCGAGCGAACAGACGAGGAGCUUGCUCCUCUGACGUUAGCGGCGGACGGGUGAGCAACACGUGGAUAACCUACCUAUAAGACUGGGAUAACUUCGGGAAACCGGAGCUAAUACCGGAUAAUAUAUUGAACCGCAUGGUUCAAUAGUGAAAGACGGUUUUGCUGUCACUUAUAGAUGGAUCCGCGCCGCAUUAGCUAGUUGGUAAGGUAACGGCUUACCAAGGCGACGAUGCGUAGCCGACCUGAGAGGGUGAUCGGCCACACUGGAACUGAGACACGGUCCAGACUCCUACGGGAGGCAGCAGUAGGGAAUCUUCCGCAAUGGGCGAAAGCCUGACGGAGCAACGCCGCGUGAGUGAUGAAGGUCUUCGGAUCGUAAAACUCUGUUAUUAGGGAAGAACAAAUGUGUAAGUAACUAUGCACGUCUUGACGGUACCUAAUCAGAAAGCCACGGCUAACUACGUG
rnacentral:rRNA from 1 species